rnacentral:rRNA from 1 species
UACGUAGGGUGCAAGCGUUGUCCGGAAUUAUUGGGCGUAAAGAGCUCGUAGGCGGUUUGUCACGUCGGCCGUGAAAACUCGGGGCUCAACCCCGAGCCUGCGGUCGAUACGGGCAGACUAGAGUGCUGUAGGGGAGACUGGACUUCCUGGUGUAGCGGUGAAAUGCGCAGAUAUCAGGAGGAACACCGGUGGCGAAGGCGGGUCUCUGGGCGGUAACUGACGCUGAGGAGCGAAAGCGUGGGGAGCGAACAGG